UCCAUGAAUAAUUCCUGCUCAGCGGGUCGAGCAAACAGCGGAGGUAAAAGAGCACGCGAAUUCCUCCCUCAACUCACUCAACUCUGCCGGACCAAGUUAACGAGAUGAUGCUCCAGAAACAACAUUCCCCCCACGCGCGCAGUACAUCUGUAUCUUUUUCAAGUGGCCAAAGACUUUCUGCUUCCAUAUUUUAGCUGCUUGUCCCUCUCAACCACAUCUUCAACUUGCAAUGGCUCGCACCGUACUGACCGUUCUCCUUCUUUUGGCUUUUAUUGCAGCAAAUCUUGCUGCCCCUGCGCAAAAUAAAAUUGAAGAAAGAGAUGGAGAAAUCAGGGACGAACGUUGGGGUUGGUUCGGAUGGGUAGCCAAAGCGGCCAUCGGUGUAAUAAAUCACUUUUCAAAUAGAAACAGAAGAAACUAGGAUCCAUGCCCAGGAUCCAUGACUAAUUUUGUUAAUACAACCGUCUGCAAAUUAUCGUCAACUGUUCUGCAAACCAAGCUUGGUGUUCUUCUCUUUGGGAUUAAUUAAUAAAUACAAUUAUUAAUGGA